AUCAAGAGCCACACUCUUUGGUCAUAUUCAGACUUUGAAGAGAAGACAUCAUAAGUCUCAACAAUCCUAAAGACAAAAGAGAAGAAGAAAAUCAAAUAUGCUCAAGAACAUCAAGGCAGUCAAUACCCUACAAGUGACGCCAAUGGUGAGAGAACAUUCUGGUUGAUCUUCAAUCUGUAAUAUGACAUUCUUAAGCAUGACCUCGUGAUGGGCAAGGGUCAGAAUUGCAAACUACACACAAAGACUUAACUUUUUACACUUAAAGACUUAGGUGUUGAAAAGUAUUACAGCCCAAGUUUUUACCAUAGAAUGAGGCGAAUUUCUAAGACCUAACAGAAUCAUCAACCUUUGUAUAUAAAAGACCACAUACAUUGAUAAAAAGCAACUUUGCAUGGCAAAGACUAGUAAAUGGGAGAUGAGUUUCUAUUUUGUGGGGGACAAGAGUGCUUUAUGGGAUUUCAAGAAAAUUUUUUUUCCUUCUUACGCUCCAUCACACUAGAACACACGUACGGCCAAGCCUCUCCAUCAUAUUCUCCCUCAUUUCUUCCAUCUUCUAUUCACUUCUCUCAAACUCUCAUUCAACCCUUUCAAGCCCUUCAACUUCUAAGGCUCAAAACCACCUAUUAUUCCUCACUAGCUCAUAAAACAUCACAUUCUUCGGCUAAAGAAGAUGCUCAUUAAGUUUUCUAGUGUUCUCUAUCACACCUUUUCUUUUCCAUGUGCCAGAGAUGUGAGCAGUAGGUCUACAGUCAAGGAUGCAGGUCAUAGUCACAUACAUCACAAGAGAAGGCCCAAAAUUUCCCUCUAAUUUGGCAAGAGUCACAUAGGUAUGCUUUGGCCAUGUCCAGCUUGAGCAAGUGUUCAUGCUUUAUAUCCUUCACUUGUCGGGGCAAUGCAUCUCCUUCCUUUCUCAACGCUGCUUCCACCUCUCCAACCUUCGAUUUUGUAAACGGGAAAGCCUUGGCGCCAUACGAGCUGAUGAUGGCCCUCCCAUUUGUGCCGAUGGUCUUCCCAUCUGCUCCGACGAGGACUAGAGCUGGAAUCCCUUUGAUGUUGAAGAUCCUGCACAGGUCGUUUCGUGUUUUGUCCAGAUAUGGUAUGGCCAGCCAUGGCAUGCUUUCCAGGCUGAGAUUGAAUUCAUUGAGGUCCCGAUCUGUUGAGACGAAAAUAAUUUCGAAGUCUUGCUCUUUAGAACUCAUGAGAUGAUCGUUGUAAGCUUCUAAAAGUUGUGCAGUGAAGGUUUGACAAGGUGGGCACCAAUGUGCUCCGAAGUAGAGGCCUAUGGUCUUUCCAACAAGUUCUGAUACUAACGCCUGCAAGGAGUCAAGCUCAAAACAUGUCAACUUUACACCAAAGAGAAUGCUAAAAGCAAGUAGCAAAUACAGAGUGGCCGGCAGCAGCUAUCGGUCGUCUUUCGGCAACUGUCACGGUGUAAAGCGGAGCUUGUAGAACUUGUUGGUAAUGGUAUAAAGUGAUCAGGUGAAGAAAAUCUUAGUAAUUUGUGACACUUUAAUAUACGCUUAUACCAAAACAAGGUCGAAAAGCCUCAAAACUUUGAGAAAGCUCGUGGGGCGACGCUUUUCUAAUAUAGUAGACAAGGCCACAGACAAGUGGUUCUCAUAUAUGCAAUGUUAAAAUAACUAGAGAAUAGAAACUUGAACUGAAUACUGUAUUUUUGUGUGUUGUAACCAUGUACAAUAAGAGCCUGUUUAUAGUUGAAUAAGGUCAGUUAAAAUAGGAAAUAUUAUGAGACAGAGAAUUA